UACAGAGGGGGCAAGCGUUAUUCGGAAUUAUUGGGCGUAAAGGGCGCGUAGGCGGCUUUUCAAGUGACGGGUGAAAUCCCUCGGCUUAACCGAGGAACUGCCUGUCAGACUGGAAGGCUUGAGACCGGGAGAGGUGAGUGGAAUUCCCAGUGUAGCGGUGAAAUGCGUAGAUAUUGGGAGGAACACCGGUGGCGAAAGCGGCUCACUGGAUCUCUUCUGACGCUGAGGCACGAAAGCUAGGGUAGCAAACGGG
rnacentral:rRNA from 1 species